AACGAACGCUGGCGGCAUGCCUAACACAUGCAAGUCGAACGAGACCGUCGGGCCUAGUGGCGCAGGGGUGCGUAACACCUGGGAACCUGCACGUAGGUUCGGAAUAACUCCCCGUAAGAGGUGCUAAUACCGGUUAAUGUCAUCCGAGCAAGGAUUUAUCGCCUUUGGAUGGGCGCGCGUUGGAUUAGCUAGUUGGUAGGGUAAAAGCCUACCAAGGCGACGAUGCAUAGCUGGUCUGAGAGGAUGAUCAGCCACACUGGGACUGCGACACGGCCCAGAACGCUACGGGAGGGAGCAGUGGGGAAUAUUGGAGAAUGGGCGAAAGUCUGAUCCAGCAAUGCCGCGUGAGUGAUGAAGGCCUUAGGGUUGUAAAGCUGUUUUACACGGGAUGAUAAUGACAGUACCGGGAGAAUAAGCUCCGGCUAACUACGUG
rnacentral:rRNA from 1 species